UACAGAGGUCUCAAGCGUUGUUCGGAUUCAUUGGGCGUAAAGGGUGCGUAGGUGGCGUCGUAAGUCAGGUGUGAAAUUUCGGAGCUUAACUCCGAAACUGCAUUUGAUACUGCGGUGCUUGAGGACUGGAGAGGAGACUGGAAUUUACGGUGUAGCAGUGAAAUGCGUAGAGAUCGUAAGGAAGACCAGUGGCGAAGGCGGGUCUCUGGACAGUUC
rnacentral:rRNA from 1 species